rnacentral:rRNA from 1 species
UACGAAGGGGGGCGAGCGUUGUUCGGAAUUACUGGGCGUAAAGGGCGCGUAGGCGGCGAACCAAGUCAGAUGUGAAAGUCCUGGGCUUAACCUGGGGACUGCAUUUGAUACUGGUUUGCUUGAAUUCGGGAGAGGAUCGCGGAAUUCCCGGUGUAGAGGUGAAAUUCGUAGAUAUCGGGAGGAACACCAGUGGCGAAGGCGGCGAUCUGGGAAGAUACUGACGCUGAGGUGCGAAAGCGUGGGGAGCAAACAGG